GUUCGGUGUUUUCCACAGUACUUUUUCUCUGUGUUUCUUUUAUCUGAUACUCACGUGACUCAUUAGUCCCCGCUAGGCUGGGCUAAUGAGAUCCUCCUGACACUGAGAGAAACUGAGACACUGAGGAGCUGAUGGACUCCCACUCAGCAAAUCUAAGCUGGGAUUAGGACCUUGCGAUGCAGAUAUGGCUCUGAUUCUUACUUUCUGCUAUGGGACUGUUGGCUUGCUCCAAAGCUUCAGGAUUUUAGAAGCAUACUGGCCACAGUUAGAACAGCAGAACAGUUUCUACUAAACCCGGGGCUGGAGAAAGACAGAGGGAAUAGCCUGGACCUGCUUCUCGAAGGAGCUGAGCCCCAGCCUCCAUGUGACUUCAGAAGCACCAAUAACAUCUGCUUGUACACAGCUCAGCUCAUAAAGCACAUCCUUCCUCUCUCUCUACCUCAUCCUGCUGCAGUGUGGCAUGCAUACCAACCCAGUGGCAUGCCUUCCACAGUCCCUUGUCAAAUUUGGUGGAUACUUGGAGCUCUGUUUUGGGGGGGAGGGGGGACUGGAGAUUGAACCCAGAGCCUCUCUCAUGCUUGGCAAACAAUUUACCAGUGAGCUCCAAAGCUUGCCCCCUUUUUAUGUUUUUAAAAUUUUGAUACAGAGUCUCAUGAAUUGCCAGGCUGGUCUUGAACUCUCAAUCCUCCUGCUUCGGCCUCAAGAGUCACUGAGAUUACAGGCAUGCACCUUGAGUCAGACUUGGGCUUGGUCCUGACUGGCUGGUUCUCUUGGCGUCUGGCCCUGUAGACCUGCCUCCUUCAGAUUCUCCCCUUGCUGCCAUGAUUUGCUGCCCCUCACCUCACUGAGUUUUCCCCCUUCUUAGUCCCCUCAGGGGCUCCUCCAUCCCAGGACUCCUUCACCGCCUCAUCAUGGCUGUGGUCCUGCCUUCCUUUAUCCCUCUUGCUCCAUCCUUGCCAUCCCUCAGCCUCACUGCCUGUCUCCCUAGCUGCAAGUCCACAGCUCCAUGGGGUGUCUCCAUGCCCCUCAUACUCAGUCUGCCCAGGGAAAGAAAGAAUUGUCCCCAAACCAGGCCUGCACCUGCCUCUUCCUUGCUUAGAACUCUUCAUUUACACACUGUGGGAAGCAAUUUGGCAUCACAUAUUAAAGCUGAAUGUGUGCCCACACUCUGACCAGCAAAGACCCAACAGAGAUGCGUGUCCAGAUGCACCCAAAAUAUGGACUAGAAUGUUCACAGCCCUGUGCAUUGCCUCUCAGCACAACCCCAGGGGCCAUGCACAGCAGAAUGGACUCACAGGCCAUGGUAGAGUCACACGUGGGGCAAGGCCACUACUGCUCUCACAGUAUCAUGGAGGAAUCUCGUGGACAUACAACAAAACAAUAAAAAAGAUAUGGCAGGGUUCACAAGUUUAUCUUGACAUAUAUAAAGUUCAGUGGACAGGCAUAACACGGGUAUGGUGCAAGAAGAUAGAAUAGUGUUCAACCCUGGGGAAUGUAGUUAUGUGGCAGGGACCUGUGGGAGGCUUCUGGGCCCAGACGUGUCCGUAUUUUUUAUCUGGAUGUUGGUUACAUGGGUGUAUUUCCCAUGUAAAUUCAUGAUGUAUAAUUAUAGAAAUUUUUCCUUAUGUGUCUCAUAUGUCAAUAAAAAGUUAAAAUAAACAAAUGAUCGGAAAUUGUCCAUGGGUUCUUCAUUACACUGAGGAGAAAACCCACAAACUCCUUACUAGACUCAUGCGCACAAGACCCUUCAUGCCCUGGCUCCUUCCUCACCAUUCCCACACAUGUUCUUUCUGGCCCUCACAGGGUAUUUGUCAUUCCCCACAAGGUGUUUGUCAUUUCCCCACAAGCCAGAUGCUGUCUCCAGCUCCUAGGCUUUUGCAUGGCUGCUCCAUCUGUCUGGACUGCCCUUGCCUGUCUAUUCUCUCUGGCCACCCCCAAGGAUCCUUCUGGAC
ensembl:lncRNA